rnacentral:rRNA from 1 species
GUGCCAGCCGCCGCGGUAAUACCGGCAGCCCGAGUGAUGUCCAAUAUUAUUGGGCCUAAAGCGUCCGUAGCUGGCCGCGCAAGUCCGUCGGGAAAUCCACCUGCCCAACAGGUGGGCGUCCGGCGGAAACUGUGUGGCUUGGGACCGGGAGGCCUGAGGGGUACGAUCGGGGUAGGAGUGAAAUCCUGUAAUCCCGCUCGGACCGCCGAUGGGGAAACCACCUCAGGAGAACGGAUCCGACAGUGAGGGACGAAAGCCAGGGUCUCGAACCGGAUUAGAUACCCUAGUAGUCC